GUCCGCAGGCUGACGCUCUAUCCACUGAGCCAAACUGGUUUCGGCCAAGCACGUUAUUGAUCCAGCUGCUAUGACAGUGACCUGAAUUAACAGUGGAUUUAACCACACAGGAGAUCCUUUUCUUUCUUGUCACAAUUUGAGUGUGAUAUGAUGGCUCCACCUAGGAUCCUUCGUCUUCUGUCUUGUCCUGUUAUUCCUAGGCUGCUUCCAUUGUUUAUAGAAUGAGAUGGCUUACUAUAUGCUAGCCAGUGGGAAAGAGCACAUAUGGCCCAAGGAGCACACUUCUUCCUUAAAAAAAAUUUUUUUUUUAAUUUAUUUCAGAGAGGAAAAGAGAGGCAAAGAGAGAGAGAAACACCAAUAAUGAAAGAGAAUCAUUGAUCCACUGCUUCCUUCAUGGCUCCUACUGGGGGAUUGAGUGGGCAUGUGACCUGACUGAGAAUCGAACCAUGACCUUCUGGUUCAUAGGUUGUUGCUCAACCACUGAGCCACACUGGUUGGGCACAUUUUACAUGUUUCAUUCUACUCAGACCUUAUUAUCCAGAAGUUUUCGGAAGACUGAAAAAUAACCUAUCUUGGUGGUCAUGUACUCUGUGCUGAGAUCUAGUACCAGAGACAACUCCUGGUCUCUGCCAUAUUCUGAGCUUAGUAAAAUUGAAGUUGCUGAGUUUAGACUAACAUAGCUGAUUGUUAAAUUCUGAUCUUUGUAGCAGGGCAUCCUGUUUGUGUUAAUAUUAUAAAAUAUACAGAACUUAAAAAUAUGUAAAAUCUUAGUGCUUUUCCCUAUAUAGAGCUAAGAGAAUAUGGAAGAUUCAUGCUUUAUGCUCCUUUAUUCACUGAAAUUCAGUAAAUACCUUGAAUCCUUUAUUCAUUCUGGCCAUUGAAACCAAGCUCUUACAGGCAGGCAUAUUUUGCUUAUAAUGCUAAUAAUGAAGAGUUCUAGAACCAAGGCUUUAAAAUGUACACCUUUAUAAUAAACAACAAGAGAGUCCAAGAUAGAAACAAAGGAGAUGUGCCUCUACCUCACAGCUGUAGAGGGAGAGAAAUAUUAUGUUUCCUAAAAAUAGUUCUAAGAAUCUGCUUUGCUGAGGUGAUAAAUUAAGAACAUUCAGAAGAACAUCAAUCUUGUUUUCCAGUGCAAUAUGAAAACUUGUCUGAAUAUUCAUAAUCCAGCAACUUGUUUUCUUUUCUGUUCUUGGAAGUAUAAUUUUAACAAAAAGAUCUUGUAAAACUAAGACUUUUGGAAUUGUUACUGCAUGCUACAAAGGUAACCUUAAAAAGAGCUUGUAAUUCUGAUUGUCUUCCUUGAUAGUUUGUUGCCUUGGCAAUAAUGCUAUAAUUUAUGUCUGAAUUCCUAAGCAACUCAGAGACUUAGAACUUAGCUCUGUAAAACCAGAAGAGAUUCAUUUGCUCAGUUCUCUUUUCCAUCAUAUAUUAG